rfam:Ciona intestinalis ciona0073, whole genome shotgun sequence.
GUCAGGAUGGCCGAGUGGUGUAAGGCGCCAGACUCAAGAACGAUCGUUCUUCGCCACUAUGUGGUGUUGAGUAUUCUGGUCUCCGAAUGGAGGCGUGGGUUCGAAUCCCACUUCUGACA